AGCAGCCGCGGUAAUUCCAGCUCCAAUAGCGUAUAUUAAAGUUGUUGCAGUUAAAAAGCCCGUAGUUGAAUUUCGGGGUCAGUGAGUUGGUCGUGCCACUGGUAUGCACUGGCUUUACUGAUUCCUCCUUCUUGAAGAACUGUAAUGCUAUUAAUUUAGUGUUGCAGGGAAACAGGACUGUUACUUUAGAAAAAUUAGAGUGUUUAAAGCAGGCUAACGCUUGAAUACAUUAGCAUGGAAUAAUGAAAUAGGACGUUUGAUCCUAUUUUGUUGGUUUCUAGGAUUGACGUAAUGAUUAAUAGGGAUAGUUGGGGGCAUUAGUACUCAAUUGUCAGAGGUGAAAUUCUUGGAUUUAUUGAAGACUGACUACUGCGAAAGCAUUUGCCAAGGAU
rnacentral:rRNA from 1 species